CCGACAGUGGCUCUCUCUAUUGACCAGGCUGGCCCGGGCAGUGGAGCAGAAACAAUGAGCCCCGGCAUCACAGCAGCUGGACACGGUCCCUGACGAACUCCUGCUCCUGGAGGGUCCACAGUGGAGUGAGCAGCUGUAUUAACUGAUGUUCCCUGGAGAAACAACCAAAGGAGAGAGAUCUGGAGAGAUUUGUUGUCAGGUCAACAGUAGCGAAAUGGAGAGAGGAUGUUACAAACAGUGGGGCUGAGAACAGGCCUCUCCUGCUCCCCAGGCGGCCUGGCCUCGGAGGCUCAGGGACAGGCGACGCCGCUGUGAUCCACAGCCAGGAGCGGCCUCAGGUGUGUGACACUGCACUGCCCUGGCCGCCCAGCCGGGCUGAGGGCCCCUGCCAAGCCCUGGAUGACCCACGGCCGCCCGUCUGCCUGGUGGUUAGCUCAGGAAAGCCUCAAAUUAUACAAUUUAUGAAACCCAAUCCAGUUUUCCGACUGGAACGUGUGAUUAGAGAGAUUACACAUUCACUGCCGCAAUUAUGGUAAUACUGAUGUGUGGACAGAUAACUGGCAGCGGGGCCGCUCCGAACCGUCUAUUUAUAGGCUAAGAUUCCUGCUAUCUCAAGGCAGACAUAUGGGCCAUAAAGGCAGGCGACAAAAAAACAGG
rnacentral:lncRNA from 1 species